AUUAGGCCAGGCCCACUUACAGUCGAGGAGAGCAGGACUCAUCACAAUUCACAAGUCACACCGCCACAGCAUCUCGAGCACACUGCACACUCUCCAACCGCGGCAUCUACUAAAAAAACUCUCCAACUGCGGCAAUUGCCAACCGCCAGCACCAGCGCCGCCGCCCUGGCUCCCCCGCCGGCGCCUCGGAGAAUUGGAUUGGCUGGGCGCGUGACCCGCCGCCGCCGUCCGCGAGCAGCAGCGACCCCCCUCGCCGGCCAUGGCCUCUGCUCAUUCCAAGCUUUACUCAGGUGUUUCUGUCAUAAGAAGACUAUCCACAUGGGAUACGUCUGUUCAGUUUGUUUGUCAAUAUUCUGCAGGAAUCAGAAGACGUGUUCAACAUGUGGAUAUGUUUUAUUUGCAAGUGUGUUCCUUUUUUGUGGGGGUACCUUUUGAUGAUAAUAAAUCUGUGUUCUGUUCUUGUUUCUAGACUCAGUCCAGAGCUUCUUGAAUUGAAUCAGAUGCUUACCAAGUUUACUCUUAAUUUUGAUUUCCUAA